rnacentral:rRNA from 1 species
UACAGAGGUCCCAAGCGUUGUUCGGAUUCACUGGGCGUAAAGGGUGCGUAGGUGGUCGGGGAAGUCUGAUGUGAAAUCUCCGAGCUCAACUCGGAAAUGGCAUUGGAUACUAUUCGGCUAGAGGGUUUGAGGGGGGACUGGAAUACUUGGUGUAGCAGUGAAAUGCGUAGAUAUCAAGUGGAACACCAGUGGCGAAGGCGAGUCCCUGGAAAACUCCUGACACUGAGGCACGAAAGCUAGGGGAGCAAACAGG